AAUGCAUAGGAAUCUGCCCAGUAGUGGGGGAUAACGUGGAGAAAUCCACGCUAAUACCGCAUAUAUCCCACGGGACAAAGCAGGGGACCUUCGGGCCUUGCGCUAUUGGAUGAGCCUAUGUUGGAUUAGCUAGUUGGUAGAGUAAAAGCCUACCAAGGCGACGAUCCAUAGCUGGUCUGAGAGGAUGAUCAGCCACACUGGAACUGAGACACGGUCCAG
rnacentral:rRNA from 1 species